GACGAACGCUGGCGGCGUGCUUAACACAUGCAAGUCGAACGAUGAAGCCCUUCGGGUGGAUUAGUGGCGAACGGGUGAGUAACACGUGGGCAAUCUGCCCUUCACUCUGGGACAAGCCCUGGAAACGGGGUCUAAUACCGGAUAACACCGGCUUCCGCAUGGGAGCUGGUUAAAAGCUCCGGCGGUGAAGGAUGAGCCCG
rnacentral:rRNA from 1 species